rnacentral:rRNA from 1 species
AGAUUAAGUUAUUAAGGGCGCACGGUGGAUGCCUUGGCACUAGAAGCCGAUGAAGGACGUUACUAACGACGAUAUGCUUUGGGGAGCUGUAAGUAAGCUUUGAUCCAGAGAUUUCCGAAUGGGGAAACCCAGCAUGAGUUAUGUCAUGUUAUCGAUAUGUGAAUACAUAGCAUAUCAGAAGGCACACCCGGAGAACUGAAACAUCUUAGUACCCGGAGGAAGAGAAAGAAAAUUCGAUUCCCUUAGUAGCGGCGAGCGAAACGGGAAGAGCCCAAACCAACAAGCUUGCUUGUUGGGGUUGUAGGACACUCUAUACGGAGUUACAAAGGACGACAUUAGACGAAUCAUCUGGAAAGAUGAAUCAAAGAAGGUAAUAAUCCUGUAGUCGAAAAUGUUGUCUCUCUUGAGUGGAUCCUGAGUACGACGGAGCACGUGAAAUUCCGUCGGAAUCUGGGAGGACCAUCUCCUAAGGCUAAAUACUCUCUAGUGACCGAUAGUGAACCAGUACCGUGAGGGAAAGGUGAAAAGCACCCCGGAAGGGGAGUGAAAUAGAACCUGAAACCGUGUGCUUACAAGUAGUCAGAGCCCGUUAAUGGGUGAUGGCGUGCCUUUUGUAGAAUGAACCGGCGAGUUACGAUUUGAUGCAAGGUUAAGCAGUAAAUGUGGAGCCGUAGCGAAAGCGAGUCUGAAUAGGGCGGUUAGUAUUUGGUCGUAGACCCGAAACCAGGUGAUCUACCCUUGGUCAGGUUGAAGUUCAGGUAACACUGAAUGGAGGACCGAACCGACUUACGUUGAAAAGUGAGCGGAUGAACUGAGGGUAGCGGAGAAAUUCCAAUCGAACCUGGAGAUAGCUGGUUCUCUCCGAAAUAGCUUUAGGGCUAGCCUCAAGUGAUGAUUAUUGGAGGUAGAGCACUGUUUGGACGAGGGGCCCCUCUCGGGUUACCGAAUUCAGACAAACUCCGAAUGCCAAUUAAUUUAACUUGGGAGUCAGAACAUGGGUGAUAAGGUCCGUGUUCGAAAGGGAAACAGCCCAGACCACCAGCUAAGGUCCCAAAAUAUAUGUUAAGUGGAAAAGGAUGUGGCGUUGCCCAGACAACUAGGAUGUUGGCUUAGAAGCAGCCAUCAUUUAAAGAGUGCGUAAUAGCUCACUAGUCGAGUGACACUGCGCCGAAAAUGUACCGGGGCUAAACAUAUUACCGAAGCUGUGGAUUGUCCUUUGGACAAUGGUAGGAGAGCGUUCUAAGGGCGUUGAAGCAUGAUCGUAAGGACAUGUGGAGCGCUUAGAAGUGAGAAUGCCGGUGUGAGUAGCGAAAGACGGGUGAGAAUCCCGUCCACCGAUUGACUAAGGUUUCCAGAGGAAGGCUCGUCCGCUCUGGGUUAGUCGGGUCCUAAGCUGAGGCCGACAGGCGUAGGCGAUGGAUAACAGGUUGAUAUUCCUGUACCACCUAUAAUCGUUUUAAUCGAUGGGGGGACGCAGUAGGAUAGGCGAAGCGUGCGAUUGGAUUGCACGUCUAAGCAGUAAGGCUGAGUAUUAGGCAAAUCCGGUACUCGUUAAGGCUGAGCUGUGAUGGGGAGAAGACAUUGUGUCUUCGAGUCGUUGAUUUCACACUGCCGAGAAAAGCCUCUAGAUAGAAAAUAGGUGCCCGUACCGCAAACCGACACAGGUAGUCAAGAUGAGAAUUCUAAGGUGAGCGAGCGAACUCUCGUUAAGGAACUCGGCAAAAUGACCCCGUAACUUCGGGAGAAGGGGUGCUCUUUAGGGUUAACGCCCAGAAGAGCCGCAGUGAAUAGGCCCAAGCGACUGUUUAUCAAAAACACAGGUCUCUGCUAAACCGUAAGGUGAUGUAUAGGGGCUGACGCCUGCCCGGUGCUGGAAGGUUAAGAGGAGUGGUUAGCUUCUGCGAAGCUACGAAUCGAAGCCCCAGUAAACGGCGGCCGUAACUAUAACGGUCCUAAGGUAGCGAAAUUCCUUGUCGGGUAAGUUCCGACCCGCACGAAAGGCGUAACGAUUUGGGCACUGUCUCAACGAGAGACUCGGUGAAAUCAUAGUACCUGUGAAGAUGCAGGUUACCCGCGACAGGACGGAAAGACCCCGUGGAGCUUUACUGUAGCCUGAUAUUGAAAUUCGGCACAGCUUGUACAGGAUAGGUAGGAGCCUUUGAAACGUGAGCGCUAGCUUACGUGGAGGCGCUGGUGGGAUACUACCCUAGCUGUGUUGGCUUUCUAACCCGCACCACUUAUCGUGGUGGGAGACAGUGUCAGGCGGGCAGUUUGACUGGGGCGGUCGCCUCCUAAAAGGUAACGGAGGCGCUCAAAGGUUCCCUCAGAAUGGUUGGAAAUCAUUCAUAGAGUGUAAAGGCAUAAGGGAGCUUGACUGCGAGACCUACAAGUCGAGCAGGGUCGAAAGACGGACUUAGUGAUCCGGUGGUUCCGCAUGGAAGGGCCAUCGCUCAACGGAUAAAAGCUACCCCGGGGAUAACAGGCUUAUCUCCCCCAAGAGUUCACAUCGACGGGGAGGUUUGGCACCUCGAUGUCGGCUCAUCGCAUCCUGGGGCUGUAGUCGGUCCCAAGGGUUGGGCUGUUCGCCCAUUAAAGCGGUACGCGAGCUGGGUUCAGAACGUCGUGAGACAGUUCGGUCCCUAUCCGUCGUGGGCGUAGGAAAUUUGAGAGGAGCUGUCCUUAGUACGAGAGGACCGGGAUGGACAUACCUCUGGUGUACCAGUUGUCGUGCCAACGGCAUAGCUGGGUAGCUAUGUGUGGACGGGAUAAGUGCUGAAAGCAUCUAAGCAUGAAGCCCCCCUCAAGAUGAGAUUUCCCAACUUCGGUUAUAAGAUCCCUCAAAGAUGAUGAGGUUAAUAGGUUCGAGGUGGAAGCAUGGUGACAUGUGGAGCUGACGAAUACUAAUCGAUCGAAGACUUAAUCAAAUU